GCCUUUUUAGAAAAAAGGUUUAGAGAAAUUGGUAGAGCGCGUGCUUGGUAAGCACGAGGUCCUGGGUUCAAUCCCCAGCUGGGGCU
rnacentral:tRNA from 1 species